GGCACAACAGGAUAAGAAAUCUUUGAAGUCAAUAUUUACGCUCCAUUUCCAAACUGUUAAAAUGGCAAAUAAAUGCAUAUUCCGAAAGGGCUCCACAAGAUGUGUGAUUGUAUUACUG